rnacentral:rRNA from 1 species
GACGAACGCUGGCGGCGCGCCUAACACAUGCAAGUCGAACGAGCGAGAGAGAGCUUGCUUUCUCGAGCGAGUGGCGAACGGGUGAGUAACGCGUGAGGAACCUGCCUCAAAGAGGGGGACAACAGUUGGAAACGACUGCUAAUACCGCAUAAGCCCACGGCUCGGCAUCGAGCAGAGGGAAAAGGAGCAAUCCGCUUUGAGAUGGCCUCGCGUCCGAUUAGCUAGUUGGUGAGGUAACGGCCCACCAAGGCGACGAUCGGUAGCCGGACUGAGAGGUUGAACGGCCACAUUGGGACUGAGACACGGCCCAGACUCCUACGGGAGGCAGCAGUGGGGAAUAUUGCACAAUGGGGGAAACCCUGAUGCAGCGACGCCGCGUGGAGGAAGAAGGUCUUCGGAUUGUAAACUCCUGUUGUUGGGGAAGAUAAUGACGGUGCCCAACAAGGAAGUGACGGCUAACUACGUGCCAGCAGCCGCGGUAAAACGUAGGUCACAAGCGUUGUCCGGAAUUACUGGGUGUAAAGGGAGCGCAGGCGGGAAGACAAGUUGGAAGUGAAAUCUAUGGGCUCAACCCAUAAACUGCUUUCAAAACUGUUUUUCUUGAGUAGUGCAGAGGUAGGCGGAAUUCCCGGUGUAGCGGUGGAAUGCGUAGAUAUCGGGAGGAACACCUGUGGCGAAGGCGGCCUACUGGGCACCAACUGACGCUGAGGCUCGAAAGUGUGGGUAGCAAACAGGAUUAGAUACCCUGGUAGUCCACACCGUAAACGAUGAUUACUAGGUGUUGGAGGAUUGACCCCUUCAGUGCCGCAGUUAACACAAUAAGUAAUCCACCUGGGGAGUACGACCGCAAGGUUGAAACUCAAAGGAAUUGACGGGGGCCCGCACAAGCAGUGGAGUAUGUGGUUUAAUUCGACGCAACGCGAAGAACCUUACCAAGUCUUGACAUCCCUUGACAGACAUAGAAAUAUGUAAUCUCUUCGGAGCAAGGAGACAGGUGGUGCAUGGUUGUCGUCAGCUCGUGUCGUGAGAUGUUGGGUUAAGUCCCGCAACGAGCGCAACCCUUAUGGUCAGUUACUACGUAAGAGGACUCUGGCCAGACUGCCGUUGACAAAACGGAGGAAGGUGGGGAUGACGUCAAAUCAUCAUGCCCUUUAUGACUUGGGCUACACACGUACUACAAUGGCGUUAAACAAAGAGAAGCAAGACCGCGAGGUGGAGCAAAACUCAGAAACAACGUCCCAGUUCGGACUGCAGGCUGCAACUCGCCUGCACGAAGUCGGAAUUGCUAGUAAUCGUGGAUCAGCAUGCCACGGUGAAUACGUUCCCGGGCCUU